GACGAACGCUGGCGGCGUGCUUAACACAUGCAAGUCGAACGGAAAGGCCCUGCUUUUGUGGGGUGCUCGAGUGGCGAACGGGUGAGUAACACGUGAGUAACCUGCCCUUGACUUUGGGAUAACUUCAGGAAACUGGGGCUAAUACCGGAUAGGCGCUCCUGCUGCAUGGUGGGGGUUGGAAAGUUGCGGCGGUUGGGGAUGGACUCGCGGCUUAUCAGCUUGUUGGUGGGGUAGUGGCUUACCAAGGCGUUGACGGGUAGCCGGCCUGAGAGGGUGGCCGGGGACAUUGGGACUGCGAUAGGGAGCAGACGGCAACGGGAGGCAGCAGGGGGGAGUCUUGCACAGUGGGCGGAAGCCUGAUGCGGCGGCGCCGCGUGCGGAAUGACGGCCUGCGGGUUGUGAACCGCUUGCGCCUAUGACGAUGCGUGAGUGACGGUAACGGGUAAAUAAGCACCGGCUAACUACGUG
rnacentral:rRNA from 1 species